rnacentral:misc_RNA from 1 species
GAAAGUGUUUCAAGCCAUUUCCUGAAGAACUUAGAUUUUUGAUUACUUAGACUGAAUCAUCCUGUUGUUCUGGCAUGGCUUUGAUCCUUCAAUGAACGGUUCAAAGAGCGAUGGCACACUUUUCUUAAGACAUGCACCAGGACUACAGGAAUUUCCUGAAUUGCUUGAUAACUGGCUUACCUUUCUUUUCCGUUCUGCUGCUUGUUGUGGAUACCGCUUCUUCAGGAAUCAUUUAGGCACAGACAAU